AAUAGAUACCCAGGUAGUCCACGCCGUAAACGAUGAGUGCUAAGUGUUAGGGGGUUUCCGCCCCUUAGUGCUGCAGCUAACGCAUUAAGCACUCCGCCUGGGGAGUACGGUCGCAAGACUGAAACUCAAAGGAAUUGACGGGGGCCCGCACAAGCGGUGGAGCAUGUGGUUUAAUUCGAAGCAACGCGAAGAACCUUACCAGGUCUUGACAUCCCAUUGACCACUAUGGAGACAUAGUUUUCCCUUCGGGGACAACGGUGACAGGUGGUGCAUGGUUGUCGUCAGCUCGUGUCGUGAGAUGUUGGGUUAAGUCCCGCAACGAGCGCAACCCUUGUUCUUAGUUGCCAUCAUUUAGUUGGGCACUCUAAGGAGACUGCCGGUGACAAACCGGAGGAAGGUGGGGAUGACGUCAAAUCAUCAUGGCCCUUAUGCCCGGGGCCGCACACGUGCUACAAUGGGGCGGACAAAGCGUCGCGAGGCCGCGAGGCCAAGCCAAUCGCAAAAACCGUCCCUCAGUUCGGACUGCGGGCUGCAACCCGCCCGC
rnacentral:rRNA from 1 species